ACCCUUUUCUACGGAAUAGCCUUUGGAAACGAAGAGUAAUACCGUAUACGCCCUUUGGGGGAAAGAUUUAUCGGAGAAGGAUCGGCCCGCGUUAGAUUAGAUAGUUGGUGGGGUAACGGCCUACCAAGUCUACGAUCUAUAGCUGGUUUUAGAGGAUGAUCAGCAACACUGGGACUGAGACACGGCCCAGACUCCUACGGGAGGCAGCAGUGGGGAAUCUUAGACAAUGGGCGCAAGCCUGAUCUAGCCAUGCCGCGUGAGUGAUGAAGGCCUUAGGGUCGUAAAGCUCUUUCGCCUGUGAUGAUAAUGACAGUAGCAGGUAAAGAAACCCCGGCUAACUCCGUGCCAGCAGCCGCGGUAAUACGGAGGGGGUUAGCGUUGUUCGGAAUUACUGGGCGUAAAGCGCACGUAGGCGGAUUGGAAAGUUGGGGGUGAAAUCCCGGGGCUCAACCCCGGAACUGCCUCCAAAACUAUCAGUCUAGAGUUCGAGAGAGGUGAGUGGAAUUCCAAGUGUAGAGGUGAAAUUCGUAGAUAUUUGGAGGAACACCAGUGGCGAAGGCGGCUCACUGGCUCGAUACUGACGCUGAGGUGCGAAAGUGUGGGGAGCAAACAGGAUUAGAUACCCCGGUAGUCCACACCGUAAACGCUGUCUACUAGCUGUUUGUGGAUUUAAUCCGUGAGUAGCGAAGCUAACGC
rnacentral:rRNA from 1 species